GCAGAUCACAUAUAUUCCGAGAAAGUGGCUUAGGCAUUUACCGAAUGGUCAAUUUAUAAAUUGCAUUUAUGAAUUUAUACGCGCCAAUAUACAUUAUUCACAGCUUCAUAUAUAUAAUGGUGUCUGGGUACAUACUCAUUGUGUCGGAUGACGCGUGCUGUGUAUGAAGAAGUUUGUGUUUAAGCUUACAAUGAACACGAAAUAAGUUAAGCAAUAAAACGCGGUGGGAGCUUUUGCUGCAUAAACCACAAUUGCCAGUGAAAAAAUACUUGUGUUAUUGUUAUUGUUCGUUAUUUCCUUUAAUUUUCACCAACGCAUUUUCGAAGCGCUGCUGUACAGCAUUGAGAUGUACAAUGUGCGACAAAAACUGCAAAUACAACACAAACAAAACCAGACGGUGCACCAACGGUGGCAAGAGCAACAACACCAUCAGCAGCUGCACAUGGAUGUUUAAUCUUGUGGCGGUUGCCUUAUUAAUCCAACAUGUCGCCUGCGCUGCAACAGCUAUCGAGGCGACAACACCGGCAACACGGGCGUUGUCAAAGGCGCUCACCGAUUCCCUACCAUCCGCAUUUGUACCCACAGCCCAGCUGUUGAGGCGCCAUGGCGAUAACGGUAGCAGUAGCAGCAACAAAAACUCACCCACACAGGCUGAUUCCGGGAGCCGCGCUACGAGCCGCCACCUCAGCGCCAUUGAGUCCAACGCCGGCGGUGUCAGCAGUAUCGUUGCCGGCGACGAUGGUGUGGAUUUCGCUGCCUAUGCAAAUGAUUUCAAUAUGCAAGCUGAAGCUGCUAUACCCGAGGAUAUUUUGGACCAACAACACAUACAAGAUGUCGAUGCCACUGAUGCGGACAGUAUGCAAUAUGUUGGAGAUGGCGAUGGCGAUGGUGAUGGCGACGAGGCUGUUGAACCCGAAGCUGAUAUUAUACUUGCAGCGCAAAAAUUCAGCACUUCAGAAAGCAGUCGUGAGAAAGAAGAAUAUUACGAGCAUAACAACAACAAUGGAGACAAUAAAAACAAAGGCAGCAACAACAAAAGCGCACAGCUAAGGAAAACUGUAAGAAAGCGAAACAACAAAUUGAAAAACAAUGCAGACAACAGCUAUAACAACAAUAACAAAAAUGAUGACACAAAAUAUGACAGUGACAACACAGCUGUCUACAAUGAUGAUGCUUCCAUGGACGAAGCGGAUGCGUCGGACAUCACGGCUGAGGAGCCAUUGGCGCUGCCCAGCGUGACCGAAGCAAGGCAAAGUUUUGUAUUGACGCGACAUCCAAGAGGACAACAAAAUCACAAAUUAAUAGCAGCAGAGGACGCACAAAGUUAUGAAGAGCAGAGCCGAGACGUGACCGCGCGGCAUCAGCAAUUUAUUGAAAACUUAGUUGCAGAAAAAUUUAAUAAAGCAACGGGACAAACGGUAAACAAUGAUGACAAAGCGAACGACAACAGGCACAACAACAAUAACAACUUAACGAAAAAUGCUGGCAUAAAUGGCUCUGCUGUUGACGAGCAAAGCGAAAGCAUCCAGAACACUGCUAUAAAUAAAGGCAACAAUAUGAGUAAACAAGUAAACAAUAAAUCAGAAAUGGAGUACACGGACGAUAAUCAACCGGAGGAAACGGCGAUCGGCGAUAUCGAGGACAAGUUUCGUAAUGAAGAAGAUGCCGUCGGGCAGCAACAACAGCAGCACUUGCAAAGGGAGCUGCACGGCCAUCAAACGGCAUCGAUUGCAAAGCAAAGCCGAGAGGGCAAGGCAGAAGCGAGGCUAACGUCUAUGAGCGGCAUGCAUGUAGAAGAAGAUCAUCGACAAAUUAAAAAAUUCAAGCGCAAUGAAAGAGCCAGCAGCAGCAGUGCCAACGACCAUGCUAACAAAAACAAUAAAAAUGGCAACCAAGACAACAACAACAGUCACUCGUAUAAACGCCAUCACCACGGCGAACUCGCUCACAUCGAAGGCGAAUAUGAGGCAGGCACGUUCACGCAAAUGUCGGACGCAGAGAAAGUUGAAACGUCUGAAAACCAACCCAGGCAUGUGCAACAACUACAAAAACUUCCGCAGCACGUUGAAGUUGCUGACAGCGUUGGUGCGGUGGCAGAGCCACAAGCCGAUUACUCAAUAACCUAUUUUGGCAUCUUAACAAACAGCUCGAAGAAGCGCGAAAAGGCGUUCGCCGAGGAGCAAGCAGAUGCGGAUGAGCUCGAGAACACCGUUAGAAACUCGGCCAAAACAGCAGACAUUGUUGCAAAAACUGCUGACAACGACGAUGCGGCCGAACUUGGUGCUGUGCAUGCAACACGAAAUCAGUUGCAACAACAACAACAAUCGCUAACGGGUAAAGUGGCCGAUGCUGGCGAGCUUCAUGCAGCACACUCCUCGUCCUUUGAGCGCUACAAGGCGCAACGUCGGAACAGUCGGCGCUACGGACAUAAAAUGUACAAGAAAAAAUAUAAGGAUUACCUGCGUCAUGCAACGAUAGCCUCCUUGACAGCUAAAGCAAUGACAACAGCAAUUGACGCAGCAACAAUAACAGCAGCGCCGCACAUGUCGACAGGAUUGCCGCCUAUGGGAAAUGCAUUUGAAAUGAGUGCUAAGCACACACUCAACUCGACACAGGCGAAGUUGACAAAUGACAACUACACCGAUUACUAUCGGGAACAACAACAAACAAGGGAGAAUAUUGCUAACGCUAGAGAGCAAAAACAUGCAGAAACGUUAAGAAAAUAUGCAAGGAAAAUUGAAGCGGAAAAAUCACGUGGAUUACCAGCAUCACCAAUAUUUGUUGUAGGCAAUCAGAGCGCUGGUAAGUUGGCUACAAGCAAAGCGAACAGCGAACGGUCCACAGGUGGAGACACAAAACAUUUCUACGAAGGGCAGGUAAACUAUUACUUAGAGACGGCGGACGACGAGGGUAUGCAGACUAAAGCAGCGUCGAUGAAAAGCUACAAGCCAACUGGCGUCGAAGGAGAGGGUACGACUAUUACUGAGGUAGCGCUGUCUAGAGAAGAAGAGGAGCGUUUGCGUGCACACGAACUUAGCAUGGAGCACAUGAUAGCAGCGGACAAUAAUAACUGGUACCGACGUGUAAGCCCGGUGCUACGUAAUGGCAUUAAAGUCUACGGCAACGAAGACAAAGUGCAGCGCGAGAAAGCAGCCAGCCAACUACCGCAUGUGCAGGAGCAACAGCAUCAUCAACACCUGCAACGACAACACGCCGCAAAACAACAUCAACAUUAUCACACACACCACGGAAAACAUUGGAGUCAUCAUCAUCGACUGCACACGCCACCAUAUCAGCAUCGACAACAACACCACGACUCCCAUCAACAUAGAGGUGGCAGCGGUAAUCAUCACAAGCAUCAUCAAAAUAGUAAACAUUAUCAAUCAAGCGAUAGACAGCUCCAGCAACAACAUCCAACUGAUUCCAAUGAACGGAAACUACAUGAUCCACCCUCACCACACGCCGCAGACACACAGGCGGCAGUGGAGUUGGGCAUGGUGCAGACACCGAUACCGCCACCCUCAUAUAAAAAACAACAUCUGAAGCAAACUGAGCACGAGAGGGUGAAACAGGGAGCGCUUCAACUGGGCCAUCAAAUCACAGAAUUGGAGGAGUUGGAACGCUACUAUGCCAAGUGGCCCCACUUGGCACGCGUACAGUUUCAGUUGUACGAUGAACACUUCCGCGAGGACCACCCUGAACUUUAUCCCGAACUAAAGGUCGGCGCUAGCGACUUGGCUGAUGCUGCAGAAGACUACGACGAUGAUUAUGAGAGCGCUGCCGAGUUGGAGGAAGCACAGAAUAGUCAUGAUGAAGACGCAAACUUGCCGCCAUACAUUAAGAAGUACAACAGACGCAAUAAGCAAUUGCUGAAUUUGCUUGAAGGCACUCUGCCGCCACCGACGCGUCUUCCACCUACUUUGGGGCGCAGUUGGUCUAGUUCGGUACUGCAGCCGGGACCGCAUGCAAGCAGUCGAAGCGCAGGCGGUAGCAGUACUGCGGGUAGAAUACGCAUCGAUGACGACUACCUAAAGGAGAAACGCAAGCGCUAUCAUAAUCGUGAUAUCAGCAGCGCUGACAGUAGCAGCAUUAGUGCAAGUAACAACAAUAACCGCAAGGAGGACCGACAUCACUAUCAAGAUUUAUUUGCACAGCAACGACUGACGCAAAUUGCUACUACCCAGACGACAGGGGAAACAACAGGUGUGUUGACAAAAUCUGAGGCAAUCUCCGCCAACCCAGAUGUGAGCGGCAAGUCAGAUGUAAUCAGCACCUACAAAACGGCAGCACAAUCAGACAACAAGCUGCCAGACGAGGAUGUCAGCAUUUCAGCCGACACAGACAUCGACGCUUAUGCUGCCGACGAUGGCGACAUUGACUUUUGGCAAAAGGAAAUCGAAAAUAAAUCGAAUGCAAACGAAUUGGCAGGAAGCGCACAAAUGAGAUGGCAAAUCGAAAAAUUAACAACACCCAACCCCGCGCACGCUGCCACAGUGUCGAGCGCACCAAAAGCAGCAAUUUUUCGUUUGCCCUCAUAUCCGGCCAUCGCUGGCAGUUUUAUCGGCAAGCCACGCAGUCGUAGCGCGCAAUUCGCACCGAGCGGCGGCAGUCGUGGCAAACUAGCGUUUUUAGCGCCAGCCAGUAGUGAGCUCAAUGGUAACAGAUGGGGCAAUAUAUAUGGCCUAGGCGGUGAAAAUGGUACAAGUGCUGCUGGUAAUGUUGGAGUCAAUGGUCUUGGCACACGCGGCAGUUACCACAAAUCGUUGUCACGUUUCAGCGCUUAUAAACCGAGUGUUUAUAAAACGUUAACCGCUGCAGCAGCAGCCGCUUCAACCACGACGACGACCCCCAGAGUCAACGGUGAUGAUGGCAUGAAUGGUGACGACUCGGCAGCCACAACAACUACUGCGGUUGCGGCAACGCCGAGUGGCUUUGGUAGUGAUGACGCUGAUGGCGCAGAGGGGGGAGUGGCUAAUGCCGUUAUGGGACGUACUAUUAGCUCGUUUGUCUACCACCGUGUGAUUGAUGCGUCACCGCGACAAGUGGGUACCGGUAAUACGGGGCGCAAGCAACGAUUGCCAUUUGUGGCUAUCACUGAUCGUCGGCUGGAGACCACAAAGAAGGCGCAGCUGGAACGACAGAAAGAUUUCGAACAAAAUCACUACCCAAUGCCUUAAAUUCACUGCACUUCAAUGACUGCGGCAGCGAAAGAGACGUGGACGGAGACGACCCGGACAAGCAGCACAAAACAAACAAACAUUCACAUCAGGACCGAAACGCAAACGAUAAUAAAAAAUGUUGACCAAGACGUUAAUGAAGAUGGAGAUGUAGAAAGUAAAAAAGAAGAAAACGAAAAUCGAAAAUCGAAAACAGUAAAUAGUAUUAACAGAAGUUUAAGACAGAAAAUAUUUAUAAAUAUGGAAAAAGGCAUGUGAUCUAUUAGUUGUAUUUGUGAAAAAGUGUUGAUUGCCGUAAUAUUGCGCUGCAUUUCAAGUUUUUCAUUUUAUUCUAUAAUUAAUUGUGGUGGAAUCGUUAGAUUUAAGUUUUCGUAAAACGCAUUCAAUUUUACCACAGAUAUGGUAUGAGACAGCUUUAUGGAGGCUGGUGUGAGAAUUGGGCAAUGAGCGGUACCACGCCCAUUUUUGUGAAAUCCGAUACCUCGGGACCUAACCAAUCGAUGUCGACAAAAAUUGUUUCCAGUACACAAAUUAAGCAGCAAUUAAUACAACGCGAUGCAACAUUUAAAGUCAAAGGGCAAGGUUGUACUUGUUAUUAGUAACUUGGGAAUAUUCAAUUUUACUCAAACACAAACCUGCAGCACUUUCUAAGUAUCCUCCAACUGCCGUCUGCCACUAAAGUAGGUCACAAAUGGCACCACGGGGCGUAUGCGUAACAUUUUACAUUUCAUUUGUUGGGUAAAAGUCUACAACAAAAAAUGGUCAAAUAUUAUUAUAAAUUUAGUUAAUGCCUAACAAAUAAAUAAUGUUUUGUUCAAUGCAUGAUUUGACCCUUCGCUAUUAUGUUAUUGGACAACCACAGCACAUAAAUGUACACUUUCAAUAUUCACCACUUGUGUCAUGGCAUUCGCUGAAUUUAUCGUAAUAAUUCAUAUAUUAAAACUAACAAUAGUAUUUGCUGCAAUUGUAGAAUAGUUUUCAACAGAAGCAUUAUUUAUAGUUUUUUUAAUGUGCGACUUUUGAUUUAUGUAUGUUGGUGCGUAGGCAGACUAACAGCGAGAUUUAAAUCUCUUUAAUUUAAAAGCUUUAUGAAAGCACGU
rnacentral:misc_RNA from 1 species